ACAUUUAAUCACUUCCCACAAGGAGAAGCAGGCUGGGUGUGCUCCAGGCUCCGGAAGCUCCAGCAGCCCCAGAGAUGAGGGUGGUCUGCCCCCCACACUCCCUGCCCCAGCCCAUCCUGGACCUUCUCCUGACACACAGCAAACCACACUUAGCUGUCAUUGAUGAAUCGGAGCCUCUGCCAGACAGCCGGCCAAGCCGACGCUAACUCACCCCACAGCCUGAAAUAGAAACUCGCUCGUUUUCCAGUGUGUGACAAAGAAGGAAGGUCUGGCCAAAAAGAGAGCUUCCUAAUGAGGCAUCCUGGAAACUGAUGGGAACUGUGUUCUUAUCCAUCUCCCCCAUCUCUUGUGCCCCAGGACAUCAACUGGGAGUGGCCCAGAAGCCCGAAGCUGAGAGGACAAAGCUCACUGGGCCCACUCAACAUGAAGAUGACAAGGAUGAAGACCUUUAUGAUGAUCCAUUCCCACUUACUGAAUAGAUGAAGCUUCUUGGUGAUGUAACAGUCUGUGGAAACUCCCACAGGACAAAUGCAGAAAGGAAGGACCUAGAUCACUGGAUGGUCAACGUUGCCCCUUGCACAGCAGCAAAGGCCUAUACAAAUUUUUUGAGUAGCUUUAUCUAGUGGUUCAGCUACUGGGAAUAACUUGUAAAAUCCCCUGGAUAGUCAACAGCAUUGGGGCUUGCUUUGUAAACAGAGACCUGACCUACUUAAUUCUUCCCAGAGGUUGGAAAAAGAGGCUGGACUCACACAGACAUGAAACCUUGGCUUAAUUGGACACUAAUUACUCAUAAGAGAUCUGUUUACCCGAACUUCCCCUAGACCAAGCUCAGUAUAAAAUGAGAGGAUGCAUAAAGAAGCAAGAUAUUUAGAGGAAAAUGUCACAAAUACAUUUAUCAGUCCCAAAAGUCCUUUUUUUUCCCCAGAAGUGAUGUUGCUAAUUGCACAAAAAUAAACAAUACAGGGGUUGAUAAAUUCCACAUUUAAGGGCUGAGGAUAGUGUCCCUACAUUUCUAAGAAGCUGUAUAUUUGGAAAUGAAUACAAUUGAAAGUAAGGAUAAGUGGCAUUCUAAAGCCAAUUGGAUAACUUGAAUGAACAAGCAGAAUUUACCAUAUUUUGAUAUGUUUCUUUUUGAUUAAAGUAUCUGUAAAGGAAACAAAUUAUAGUAUUGCUAUAGAUUUUAUUACUGAACAAGAAAAAAAGGCUUGAUGUUGUGCAUUUCCUUUUGGCCUUUGGUCUUGGCUGAUAUUGGGCAUCCAAUGAGCUUCUUUGUCUUGAAUGAAGACUUAAGAGGGAGUGAAAAGUAGGAAGAGCAUCAAAACUUCUUUGCAGGAUGUAAUCAAACCACCUACUACUUAUUGUCUUACGAUCCAUUUAUUCAACAAAUGGAACAUCUCAAUUGCUUGAUGCUAUUACAGACACUAGGUAUAGUCUUAGAAAAACAAAUUGCUGUUUUUAUAUAGCUUGUGUUAUGGGUUGAUGUAGUACAGUCAAAAUUAUUUAAAUAAAGGAAGAUGUGAGGAAGACUUUGAACUUAGAAAUCUGGGUUCUCAUCCAAGCUUUGCUGCUAGCUUGUUGGGGGAACCUUGGGUGAUGAGUUGGUUGACUCCUUCCAGAUCUCAGCGUUCAUCCAUCAAGUGAGGGAACUUGACCAGAUAUUCAAUAAUGGCCCUUCCAGCCCCAUCUCUAUAUGAAAGGGAAACCACAGUAUGGGCCCAUGGGGAAGAUCAUGGACUUUGGAGUAAAACAUUUCUGGCUUGGUCAAUUAUUUAAUCUCUUGAUCCCGAUCAAUUCAUGUAACUACUCUGACCCUCAGUUUCCUUGCUGCAAAAUGAGAUACUAAUAUUUGCUCAAAUAAGAUAACAGGCAAAACAAUCAUGAGGGCUCCUGGCACACCACUGUGCAUGGCUUUUGCUCCCUUGGGGAGCUUAUAAAUGAAAAAAAGAUUUUACAAUGCAAAGACAGUAAGCAUUUUGUUAGUGAAGCAACAAAAUAAUUGGGCAAUUUCCUCUCAAUUGCACCAUCAACUGAUGCCCAACCUAGAAAGCAUUUGGCUAAGAAUGGAAAAGGAAUCUUUGCCCAGAUCCCUCAAUUUUGACCAUCAUGGCAUAUACAUGAAUUGGCAGACUAAAUUUAUGCUCCUUUUGAAAACUGUGUCCAUUCCAAGAAGUCAGGCUAUUUUCACCCAGCCUGGUCUAGGCAGUGGGACUCCCCAAGGCUACAAGCAGAGCCACAGUGCUCUGGGCUGGGCUGCCACACUGUCAUGCUGGGGCAAAGAUGGCAGCAGACAGCUCUCUUGGGUAACAGCAGGAAGCUCUUUUCACAAGAGUGAUCUCAUCUCUUAGGGGACUAUGGUAGAAACACAGGGCAAAAGCUAUAGGAAUGGUCCAACAUAAUAACUGUUUUUUUUUUUAAUUUUCAAAACAUGAUAAAUGAUUAAGAAUAUAAAACUGGAAUUUAGAACUUACAGAGAACUUGUAUGAAUAAAUUAAAAAGACAACCUAAUUUUAAAAUGGGCAGAAGUCUUGGGCAGGCACAUUACAAUAUAGCAGGGGUCACCAAAUUAAAGCCUCACCAGCAAAAUCCACCUCCCAUCCCAGCCUGUUUUUAUAAAUAAGCUGUGUUGGAACACAGCCAAUCCCAUUCAUUCACACAUUGCCCAUGGCUGCUUUUGCUUGACAACAGCAUAGUUGAGUAGUAGGGACAAGACCAUAUGACCUCCAAAGCCAGAGAUAUUAACUGUCAGGCCCUUUAUAGAGUGAUUCACGGAGACCCCCAUAAUAGAGGAAAAUACAAGUGGCCAAUAGCACAUAAGAAGAUGCCCAGUAUUACAGCCAAGAGGAAAAUGCAAAUUACACCCACAGUAAGAUACCAUUAUGCAUCCAUUAGAAAGGCUAAAAUUAAAAGGACUGACAACAACAAGUGUUGACAAUGGUGGGUAACAGCAAGAGCUCUCAUACACUGAUGGUUGAAGUGUAAAUUGGUUCAGUUUUGGAAAAGAGUUUGGAGGUGUCUACUACAGUUAAACAUACAUAUUUCCAUGCCCCAGAAACUCCUGGGCAUAUUCUCAAAAGAAACGAGGGCUGUGGCCACCAAGAGACAUGUGUGAGAAAGGUCCUAGCACCUUUAUAUAUCAUAGUCCCAAACAGAAAACAACACAUACCCAUCCACGUUAGGAUGAACUAAAUAAAUUGGGGCAUAUGCAUUCAAUGGAAUAGUACAUAGCAAUGAAAAAAUAAACUGUUGCCCCAUGCAAAGAUGUUUUACAGACAUAACGUUAAGCAGAAGAAAGCAGAUCUCAAGGAGCCCACAUUGUACAAUUCCGAUCUAUAUGAAGCUCAAUAACACAUGGUACUAGAAGUUGUAAUAGCAGUUACCUGUAGGACUGGAGGUUUGUAUUGAAAGAGAAGGAACAUCAGGAAGUCUGCUGGAGCCUGGAAAUGUCUGAGAUGUUGCUCUGGGAGGCAGUUGCAUGGCUGUAGACAUAUGUAAGACAUUAUUGGAUGGUAUACCUGAGAUUGGAGCACCUACAAUAGAAGGUACAGUGUUACAUCUCAGUGAAAAAGAGAAAAUAUUAAAGAAGAAAAAGACUGUGGAUCAUUUUGGACUUGAACCUUAUGCAGUAGUGGGUACUACAGAGUCAUGUCUCAACUACAAUUCAAACUGCAAUACCUUUUAAGCUUUGUGUUGAAAAGAAUGAAUAUUUGGGAAUGUAAUUCUGUGUUUGUGAUAAAGUCCUCCAUAAUAACUGAUUCAAAGCAAAGGAGACUACAGUUUCCCCUGGUGCCCUGCCCCUGUCUCUGAUUGGUGCAUGUUUGUUGGGACAUCUACCAGAGGGGAUUAAUGCCCCAGGCUAAUGCCACUCCCUGUGCCCAACUCAUAUCAGGUGGCUGGGGGGCAGGCAAUCCAGAGCCUUCUUGCUUCCCCAGUGAGGGAUGGACAGCCCAGGAAGUGCCCUCCAAAGGGCCGGCCUGUCCCAUGGAUUGUCCAGGAGGAGGACAACACAAAGGCGAGGUUGUUUCUCGGUGAGCCCAUGCCUGGCCUUGCAGAGCAAAUACUGGGGAUCAUGCAUCACGCCUCCAACAGGCAAGUGGCCCCACGCCCAUAAGCCACAGGAUGCCAGGGAUGUGGGAUUGGAGCUGCCCUGUGGGUUUUCUCAACGAAGUAAAUACCUCCGAAGAAAUUUGGGUCCUCUACCGCUCUCAGUCAGUUGCUUCCUGACUGGUCCACAUGUGCUGGGAUUCUGGGUUCAACUGGAUCAUACCAUCGUGGAGGGCUGGAGCCACAUCAGAAAUGUCCCUGUAGCUCCUGCCUCCACAACUACAGGCCUGUAACGCUGCUCGCCCUAAGUGGUCAGUUAACACAGUGCAUGGAUGGUCUGGUCCACGAAUGCCUUUUCCGGGCGUGUUUGACUUACAGCCAUCUCUGUUCUCACUACGAAGACAGGAGAGGAGCUUCAUAGAGGUGAAGUCAGUGGAAGAUGCUCCAACCCUCCUUUGAACACACCUGCAACAAGGAAACCUAUCUGAUUUCCCCAGCUUUCCUCCCUCCUGUCUUGUGGCAGAGCAGUGCCUCCCUGCAGCUGACUUAGAGCAAACCAAACACAAUUGGACCUGUUUUCACCGAGCAACUUGCAGUGUUUUGCCCAGAUUCCAGCAGUGAACUCAAUAUCAUUGGAUGGGUUCAUAAUGCAUGCAUUUGUUCAUACCAGGGAAUUCCCUGGAAGGUUACUUGUAAAAUAAAUAUCUUGUAAAACGGGGGAAUUAAUUUAUCUAUGUUCUUUUUCUUACUGGUUCUGUCUCCUUAUAAAAAUAUGGAGAAUGGUUAUCAGGCAUACAUCACUUUUUCUUUUAAUGGCUGGUUCAGGCUAAUUAGAUUCCAGGUUUCAGGUUUCGCAAUGGCUGUAUUUUGAAGUGUUCAUGUGGCCCUGUGUGUGUUUCCUGUGGCUGGCUUAGUAAGCACCACAAACAGCUUGGCUUAAAACACCAGAAAUGUAUUCUCUCACGGUUCUGGAGAUCAGAAAUGUGAAAUCCAGGAGUUGGCAGGAUUGGCUCCUUCUAGUAGCUUCUAUGCCUCUUCCAAGCUCCUGGUGGUUGCUGCAGUCCUUGGCAUUCCUCGGCUUGUUGCUCCAUCCCUCCAACCUCUGCGUUGGCCUUCACUUGGCUUCUUCCCUGUGUGUCUCUGUGUCUCUGUUUUCUUUCCUUAUAGAGGACACCAGUCAUUGGAUUUAGGGCCCACUUUGAUUCAGAAUGAUGUUAUACUAACUCAUUACAUCUGUAAAGACCCUUUUUCCAAAUAAGGUCCCAUUCUGAGGUUCCGAAGAGGCCAUGGAUUUUGGAGCGAUAACUAUGAAACCCAGUCCAAGCACCAUGCACCCAAUGCUCAUUUCCAUCAGCCCACUUUUUGCCAGUGGGUAGAGAGAUCUGCCUGUGACCACAUGAUAGGAAGUGGAUGGAUGUCAGGCCUUAUGAUCUGGAAGGAGAAUGUCUGGAUCAAGUGAUGGGGAGGAGAAUGAAAGCUGGAGAGCUGGUUGCCAUGGUGACUCCUUCUUCAGUCUCCCAGCUUCCAUAAAGUCCUGUUCCUCCUGCCAUAGGCUUGGAUUAUUCCUGAGUCAACACGCUGUACUUUCAGGGCCUUGUGGGUGGCCAGUAGCCUUCCCUCCUCACUUGAUUGUUUGGGGACCAGGGAUGUGGCAGCUCUGGAGGGGGUUAGGACAGGGCUGUCUUUCAAGGAGGGUGACGAUCACAUGAGUCCCAGUUGAAGGAGGAGACUUGAUUUGUUAUUCUAGCAAUGGGUAGAAGACUGGCUGGAGGCUGACUCAACAUACAACAGCUCACACAGCUUUCUUGGGGCUUAGUCUUCACUGGUAAGGCCAGAGUUCUCACUGGACUUUUAUGUCAACUGAUGGCAAGGACUUUAAGAUUUAGUGUGGUCACUAAUGUAUUAUGGAACCUGAAGAACUGGGUGAGGGCCUUGCUCUGAAAACUGCACCUGGAGACUUCACCUAGGGCAUUUUCUAUGGGAGUAUUUAGGUGGAACAGUCUAGUCUAUGCCUAGGCAGUCCUGGGCACUCUUGCAAGUCUCAAAUUUCACAACCACUGUUCCCCUUUUUCUCCUCCAGAGAGUUAACUGAGAUAGCUAGGUGCUGACUUUGCCAAGGGAAAAAAUGUAUUUUUUUAAUUCGCAG
rnacentral:lncRNA from 1 species